rnacentral:lncRNA from 1 species
AAACAGGGGAAGGGAGGGUCUCAAGUCGACCCACCUUCCACGGCCACGGCCGUCUCCGGCAAUGCCCCGGCGGCUGUAGCUGGGGUGGUUCUGACCCUGGCGACCAAGAACAAGGCCGUCUUCGGCGACAGCGGCCGGUCCGGCGGAAGAAAAAGAGGGAAAACAAAAACAAGGGAGGCUCGGUUCCUAGUGAAAUCCGGCGACCGGCGGCUUAAUCCGGCCGUCAAAAAGCUUCGUGGAGUUCGGAAAAGGAAAGAAGAAGGAGAAGAAGAGAUCCUUACCUCCUCUCCGGCGAGAAAUCGAUGGCGAUUUGUUGUGGAACGACCCAUGGAAUCCAA